CCCUUAAAUGGCCCUUUGCCUCUCUUCCAUCCUCCUCUUUCUAUAAUCCUCCAGCUCUAGCUCCCCUCCCCACGGUAUCUCCUUAACUGUAUAUUCUAGUUCCCCUUCCUUGGGAGGUCCCCACUCCCAGUCCCUUACUCUAUACCUAACCUUUGUGGUUAUAAGAACUAUAGCAUGCCUACCAAGUGCUUAAAAGCUGACACCCACAAAUAAGAGAAAGCACACAAUAUUUGUCCUUUGGGGUCUGGGUUACCUCACUCAGGAUUAUUUUUUUCUAGCUCCAUCCACUUAGCAGCCACUCCAUCAUUUUUUCAAUAGCUGCAUAAUAUUCCAUUGUGUGAGUGUACCACACUUCACUAUCCAUUCAUAUGCUGCUGAACAGUUAGGCUGUUUCCGACUUCUGGCUGUUAUGAAUAGAGCUGCAGUGAACAUGGCUGACCUUGCCAGCAACCCGCGGACCUGUGCUUCCUGCCCGGCGCCCCCCUGAUGGAAUCAUUUUUAAGUGUGUCCUGAGGAACAAAACAAUGGCAAAGCAGUUUGAAAACACAAAGGGCUGCAGGACGAUUGUGAAAGAAAGCAGAACAGUUCACUGGAGCAACUACCCCAGGGAAACUACACCAUGGGAAGAAAUCCCGGAGGAGGGCCGAGUGGAAUAUCCUUCCUAGGCACACCUUUAAUCAAACUUCAAAAGGAAGGCAGCUCAUUCCCUUUGGAAGCCAUUAUGUAAUGAAGUCAAUCCUGCUUUCUACUCCCAAACUAAUUACUGGAUUUAUUCUUCCUACUCAAUCUAUUUCCAGAUAUGAUCCAAGGAGCCAUCUUUGAGCUGAUACCUGUUAUGUGACUUCCACAUCUGCCCAGACUCUCAAUUUCAACUGAAAUACACUUCGCCACACUAUCCUUGUUCCCACAGUCCACCACAGUAAGUUCUUAAGCACCACCAACACUGAGUCCUGGCUGUUUCAGCUAAUUAUACCUUUGGCCCUUACCAAAGAUGUCCUCCUCAGUGCCUAGGGUAGAGUAGACACUUCAUAAGUGCUUGCUAAAGAAUGAGAGAAGAGUUGACGUUGCCAGAGAGUGCUGACUGUGAACGGAUUGAUAAAUCGAACUGCGCUGUGAUCAGUCUGAGAUGGAGAAGGUGACUGCCCCCCCGAAAUGCUCGCCGUGAUCAGUCUGAAAUGGAUAAGAUGACUGCCCCUGAAAUGCUCCCUCUCUUUGUUACCAUUUUCCCUCUUCGGAAUGAAACUUGAGCAAAUUAAACAGGACUCCAGCUUGAAUCCACAAAUGACACCGAGCCCGAGAUGAUGCUGAGGUUGGAAGCGAUUUAGUUCACUUGCGUUUUAUUUGGAGGAUAAUGUUUUCCUUCUGGGAAGAGAAAUGUUCAGGGGGAAAAAAAAAUUGCCUUCUGACUGUAAUACACAAGUAAUAGGAAUUUGGCCAGAAAUCCGAUCUUAUGAAAACUCUCCAAGCAAAGCUUCUCAUACCCCUGUCUAUGCCUUUGGAUUGACAUUCUCGUGUUUGCCUUUCUCUGGUUUCCAGAGAUCAGGCUAGAGAAAGGCGCCAGGGUAACAAGCCAAAUAGGCCUAUUAUGGGAUGUCAUGCUCACUGGGCAUGAGUGCUGUCUCCUAGGACGUUUAUAGCACUUAUUACUCAGCCCAACUUUAAUAACACAUGGACAAGCCUGGGGCAAUCUGUAAAGGAUCUAAAAGAUUUUUUUUUUGUUAUAACUGUCUGUAUUAUAAAAUUAGUGAGUCUUGGGAUUGGACUGGAUUGGAAAGAUGAUCUCAUCAGAGGGGCCUCAACUUUACUGGAGAAGAGCUGUUUUCAAUAUCCCUCUCAUUCUAACUGGGCAUGGCACUGGGGGUGCAUUUAUAAGCGUAAGUUGGCAGAUGGUAACUGUUAAGUGGUAAGACAGAAUAUGGAAAUGCCAAUCCCCUGUAAGCCAUGGAGAUGAGGCAGGGCAGGAGUGAGCAGCCCAUCCCAAACAUUUUGCUGAGAAUCAUAGAGACAGGAAUGUGG